AUAUCUCUCUGUCUCUCUGCUUGAAUCCAUGGCGAUCAUGACCACCUAAUCAACGUUUUUUUUUACCCAUAUUAAACUCCGUCGGCCUGCUAAUUCUUUAUUGGCUCUUGCUCUGUCCGUUCCUCUCCUUCUCCCCCUUUGUCUCUCUCUCUCUUCUCCGGUCGUUGUCUUCGUCUCCCCAAGUAUAUGAAGGGGCAGAUCGAACCAGCAGCCCACUUGCUCUGAUCUUUGGUUCUCGUUAUGGGGAGCUACAGAUGCUGCCUGUGCUUCACCAGGAAGUUCAAGGUGAAGGAGGCGGAGCCCCCGGAGGACGUGAAGCAGGCCUUCAAGAAGUACGCCGAUGGCGGCGCCACCAUGUCGGCGGAGCAGCUCCGGCGCUUCCUGGAGGAGGUCCAGGGAGAGGGCGGCGCCUCGGUCGCCGACGCGCAGAGGGUCGUGGACCAGGUCAUCCAGAAGCGCCACCACAUUGCCAAGUUCGCGAGGCACGCUCUCACCCUCGAUGAUUUCCACCAUUUUCUCUUCUCCGCUGAUCUCAACCCGCCUAUUGGAACUGAGGUUCACCAAGAUAUGACAGCUCCCUUGUCCCAUUAUUUCAUAUACACGGGCCACAACUCGUACCUCACGGGAAACCAACUAAGCAGUGAUUGCAGUGAUGUCCCAAUCAUCAAGGCGCUGAAGCGAGGGGUGAGAGUGGUGGAACUUGACAUAUGGCCAAACUCGGCAAAGGACGAUGUGCACGUUCUCCAUGGAAGAACCUUGACAACUCCGGUGGAACUCAGCAAAUGUUUAAAAUCUAUAAAAGAGAAUGCUUUUGCAACAUCUCCUUAUCCUGUUGUAAUAACACUCGAGGACCACUUAACUCCAGAUCUCCAGUCUAAAGUAGCUCAGAUGGUCACCGAAACAUUUGGAGAUAUGCUUUAUUACCCUGAAGCUGAAUUAAAGGAAUUUCUCUCGCCUGAAGAGUUGAAGUAUCGCGUAAUUAUAUCAACCAAACCACCGAAAGAGUACCUUGAAGCUAAAAGUAUGAAAGAGAGCGCUCAUUUGGAGAAGAAGGAUUCUGAGGAUGAUAUAUGGGAAAAUGAUCCGAUGGAUGUUUCGAUUACUCAACAGGAAGAUGAUAAGAUCGAGGGAAAAAUUAAUGAACACGGUCUUGAAGCUGAAGAAAGCGAUGAUUGUGAAACUGAAUCAUGUCAACCAGGGGGUUCUAUUUACAAGUGUCUAAUUGCUAUACAUGCUGGGAAACCAAAGGGUGGGUUAAAGGAAGCACUAAAGGUAGAGGUUGAUAAGGUUAGACGCCUCAGUCUGAGUGAACAAGCACUUGAGAAGGCCACCGAGUCUCAUGCGACAGACGUUGUGAGAUUUACUCAGAAGAAUUUCUUGAGAGUCUACCCCAAGGGUACUCGAUUUAACUCCUCCAAUUACAAGCCGCUAGUUGGUUGGAUGCAUGGAGCUCAGAUGGUUGCAUUUAACAUGCAGGGUUAUGGACAAUUUCUUUGGUUGAUGCAUGGUAUGUUUAGAGGCAAUGGGGGGUGUGGCUAUGUCAAGAAACCCGACUUUCUGAUGAGAGUGGGUCCAAAUAAUCAAGUUUUUGAUCCCAAAGCAAAACUGGAUGUGAAGAAAACUCUGAAGGUGAAAGUGUACAUGGGAGAUGGAUGGCAUUUAGACUUCAAACAAACGCACUUCGAUUUGUAUUCACCACCAGAUUUCUAUGCUCGCGUUGGCAUAGCAGGGAUGCCGGCUGAUACGGUGAUGAAGAAAACUAGGAAACUAGAAGACGACUGGACUCCCGUUUGGGAUCAGGAGUUUUCAUUUCCAUUGACUGUUCCCGAGCUGGCUAUAUUGCGGGUCGAAGUUCAUGAGUACGACAUGACUGAGAAGGAUGAUUUUGCUGGCCAGACUUGUUUGCCAGUUUCUGAGUUGAAAUCAGGGAUACGGGCCAUCCCACUCCAUGACCGCAAGGGGAAGAAGAUGAACUCAGUGAAGCUGCUUAUGCGCUUUGACUUUGAAUGAAUACUCUCCCUUGCUCAGGUCACAUCAUCUUCGUGUAACAUAUGUAGUCUCUAAAUUUUCGUUUGCUUCUCUCCGAGUUUUGUCUUUUCAUCAUCCUUUCGAUGUGGUUUUUAUUCAUUUGUGAUCCUGUUGUGCGUUUCUCCUUGUGUGUGAUCUCGAAAACAGAGUAGAGAUACGUAUGGUUCAAGAUGUUUUGACAGAUCGAAAUAAAAAAGGGCAUUCGAAUGUA